UAUCAAAGCUCCGGCGGUACAGGAUGGACCCGCGUCUGAUUAGCUAGUUGGUAAGGUAACGGCUUACCAAGGCGACGAUCAGUAGCCGACCUGAGAGGGUGAUCGGCCACAUUGGAACUGAGACACGGUCCAAACUCCUACGGGAGGCAGCAGUGGGGAAUAUUGCACAAUGGGCGAAAGCCUGAUGCAGCAACGCCGCGUGAGCGAUGAAGGCCUUCGGGUCGUAAAGCUCUGUCCUCAAGGAAGAUAAUGACGGUACUUGAGGAGGAAGCCCCGGCUAACUACGUGCCAGCAGCCGCGGUAAUACGUAGGGGGCUAGCGUUAUCCGGAAUUACUGGGCGUAAAGGGUGCGUAGGUGGUUUCUUAAGUCAGAGGUGAAAGGCUACGGCUCAACCGUACUAAGCCUUUGAAACUGGGAAACUUGAGUGCAGGAGAGGAGAGUGGAAUUCCUAGUGUAGCGGUGAAAUGCGUAGAUAUUAGGAGGAACACCGGUUGCGAAGGCGGCUCUCUGGGACUGUAACUGACACUGAGGCACGAAAGCGUGGGGAGCAAACAUGAUUAGAUACCCUGGUAG
rnacentral:rRNA from 1 species